ensembl:snRNA U6 U6 spliceosomal RNA
GUGCUCGCUUUGGCAGCACAUAUACUAAAAUUGAAAUGAUAGAAGAUUAGCAUGGGCCUUAUGUAAGAAUGACACCCAAAUUUGUAAAGCAUUCCAUAUUUUU